rnacentral:rRNA from 1 species
UACGUAGGGUGCGAGCGUUGUCCGGAAUUAUUGGGCGUAAAGAGCUCGUAGGCGGUCUGUCGCGUCGGUCGUGAAAACUUGGGGCUUAACCCUGAGCUUGCGGUCGAUACGGGCAUGACUGGAGUUCGGCAGGGGAGACUGGAAUUCCUGGUGUAGCGGUGAAAUGCGCAGAUAUCAGGAGGAACACCGGUGGCGAAGGCGGGUCUCUGGGCCGAUACUGACGCUGAGGAGCGAAAGCAUGGGUAGCGAACAGG